rnacentral:rRNA from 1 species
UAAGACGAACCGUGCGAACGUUGUUCGGAUUCACUGGGCUUAAAGGGCGCGUAGGCGGACGGUCAAGUCAGGGGUGAAAUCUUUCAGCUUAACUGGAAACGUGCCUCUGAUACUGAUCGUCUCGAGGGAGGCAGGGGCAUGCGGAACUUCCGGUGGAGCGGUGAAAUGCGUAGAUAUCGGAAGGAACGCCGGUGGCGAAAGCGGCGUGCUGGACCUCUUCUGACGCUGAGGCGCGAAAGCUAGGGGAGCGAACGGGAUUAGAUACCCCGGUAGUCCUAGCCCUAAACGAUGGGUACUAGAUUGUGGACUUAACAUGGGUUCCCAAUCGAAGCUAAAGUGUUAAGUACCCCGCCUGGGGAGUAUGGUCGCAAGGCUG